rnacentral:rRNA from 1 species
GAUCAUGGCUCAGGAUGAACGCUGGCGGCGUGCUUAACACAUGCAAGUCGAACGGGAAACCUUUUAUUGAAGCUUCGGCAGAUUUAGCUGGUUUCUAGUGGCGGACGGGUGAGUAACGCGUGGGUAACCUGCCUUAUACAGGGGGAUAACAGUCAGAAAUGACUGCUAAUACCGCAUAAGCGCACAGGGCCGCAUGGUCUGGUGUGAAAAACUCCGGUGGUAUAAGAUGGACCCGCGUUGGAUUAG